rnacentral:lncRNA from 1 species
AAGUUGAUGGAGCUUGAGUAGUGAAUAACCAGAACAAAGGGAAACUGGAUAUAUUAAAAGAAUGAAACAAGGUUGAAGACAACCAUGAGUACCAAAGGAAAUAUUUCUCUACCCUCCACUCCUAUGCCUCCUGGCUUAUUUAUAAUGGUUUCCUAACGGCUACAAGCUGCAACUUUAACAGGAUAACUAAGAAAUAGCAAAGAAAUCAGCAACUAAUCUGCGAGUGGUUCUGCCCAACGUUCUUCUAGUUUGACCCGGUUUUGAAUGCAACAACUCCAUGCAUUACGCUCCCGUC